rnacentral:rRNA from 1 species
UACAGAGGAUGCAAGCGUUAAUCGGAAUUACUGGGCGUAAAGGGUGCGUAGGCGGUUAUUUAAGUCUGCCGUGAAAUCCCCGGGCUCAACCUGGGAAUGGCGGUGGAUACUGGAUAGCUAGAGUGUGUCAGAGGAUGGUGGAAUUCCCGGAGUAGCGGUGAAAUGCGUAGAGAUCGGGAGGAACAUCAGUGGCGAAGGCGGCCAUCUGGGACAACACUGACGCUGAAGCACGAAAGCGUGGGGAGCAAACAGG